rnacentral:rRNA from 1 species
UACGUAGGGGGCAAGCGUUGUCCGGAAUCAUUGGGCGUAAAGCGCGUGUAGGCGGCUCGAUAAGUCCGCUCUGAAAGUCCAGGGCUCAACCCUGGGAUGCGGGUGGAUACUGUCGGGCUCGAGUCCGGAAGAGGCGAGUGGAAUUCCCGGUGUAGCGGUGAAAUGCGCAGAUAUCGGGAGGAACACCAAUGGCGAAGGCAGCUCGCUGGGACGUGACUGACGCUGAGACGCGAAAGCGUGGGGAGCAAACA